rnacentral:rRNA from 1 species
UACGUAGGUGGCGAGCGUUGUCCGGAUUUACUGGGCGUAAAGGGAGCGUAGGCGGACUUUUAAGUGAGAUGUGAAAUACUCGGGCUCAACUUGAGUGCUGCAUUUCAAACUGGAAGUCUAGAGUGCAGGAGAGGAGAAUGGAAUUCCUAGUGUAGCGGUGAAGUGCGUAGAGAUUAGGAAGAACACCAGUGGCGAAGGCGAUUCUCUGGACUGUGACUGACGCUGAGGCUCGAAAGCGUGGGGAGCAAACAGG